AGAGUUUGAUCAUGGCUCAGAUUGAACGCUGGCGGAAUGCUUUACACAUGCAAGUCGAACGGCAGCACGGGAGCUUGCUCCUGGUGGCGAGUGGCGAACGGGUGAGUAAUGCGUCGGAACGUACCGAGUAAUGGGGGAUAACGCAGCGAAAGCUGUGCUAAUACCGCAUACGCCCUGAGGGGGAAAGUGGGGGAUCGCAAGACCUCACGUUAUUCGAGCGGCCGACGUCUGAUUAGCUAGUUGGUGGGGUAAUGGCCUACCAAGGCGACGAUCAGUAGCGGGUCUGAGAGGAUGAUCCGCCACACUGGGACUGAGACACGGCCCAGACUCCUACGGGAGGCAGCAGUGGGGAAUUUUGGACAAUGGGGGCAACCCUGAUCCAGCCAUUCCGCGUGAGUGAAGAAGGCCUUCGGGUUGUAAAGCUCUUUCAGCUGGAACGAAACGGUACAGGUUAAUACCCUGUGCUAAUGACGGUACCGGCAGAAGAAGCACCGGCUAACUACGUGCCAGCAGCCGCGGUAAUACGUAGGGUGCGAGCGUUAAUCGGAAUUACUGGGCGUAAAGCGUGCGCAGGCGGAUUGUUAAGCAAGAUGUGAAAUCCCCGGGCUUAACCUGGGAAUGGCAUUUUGAACUGGCAGUCUAGAGUGCGUCAGAGGGGGGUGGAAUUCCACGUGUAGCAGUGAAAUGCGUAGAGAUGUGGAGGAACACCAAUGGCGAAGGCAGCCCCCUGGGAUGACACUGACGCUCAUGUACGAAAGCGUGGGUAGCAAACAGGAUUAGAUACCCUGGUAGUCCACGCCCUAAACGAUGUCAACUGGUUGUUGGGGGAGUGAAAUCCCUUAGUAACGAAGCUAACGCGUGAAGUUGACCGCCUGGGGAGUACGGUCGCAAGAUUAAAACUCAAA
rnacentral:rRNA from 1 species